GCUAUUGGGGAGUGCUUUCAUGGAAGGUGGCCCUGAUCGAAAAAUUAGGCUCGAUCGAAGUCCUGGGGUUGAUGAGCUUUACAUUGAAGGGUAUCUGCAAGCCAUGUUAGAUACAUUGUAUAAGCAAGAAUACCUGACA